CCUACGGGAGGCUGCAGUGGGGAAUAUUGCGCAAUGGGGGAAACCCUGAUGCAGCGACGCCGCGUGAGUGAAGAAGUAUUUCGGUACGUAAAGCUCUAUCAGCAGGGAAGAAAAUGCAGGUACCUGACUAAGAAGCACCGGCUAACUACGUGCCAGCAGCCGUGGGAAUACGUAGGGGGCAAGCGUUAUCCGGAGUUACUGGGUGUAAAGGGAGCGUAGACGGCAGCGCAAGUCUGAAGUGAAAUCCCAUGGCUUAACCAUGGAACUGCUUUGGAAACUGUACAGCUGGAGUGCAGGAGAGGUAAGCGGAAUUCCGAGUGUAGCAGUGAAAUGCGUAGAUAUUAGGAGGAACACCAGUGGCGAAGGCGGCUUACUGGCCUGUAACUGACGUUGAGGCUCGAAAGCGUGGGGAGCAAACAGGAUUAGAUACCCUGGUAGUC
rnacentral:rRNA from 1 species